GGUUUUUUGAGGCCAUUGUGUGGUAUGAAACUGGCAUCUUUGCCACCCAGCUGGUGGAUCCGGUGGCGCUGAGCUUCAAGAAGCUGAAGACCAUUUUGGAGUGCCGGGGGUUGGGCUACUCAGGGUUGCCCGAGAAGAAGGAUGUCCGGGAGCUGGUGGAAAAGUCAGGUGACUUGAUGGAGGGUGAGCUCUAUUCUGCUCUCAAGGAAGAAGAAGCAUCCGAAUCGGUUUCUAGUACCAAUUUCAGUGGUGAAAUGCAUUUCUAUGAGCUUGUGGAAGACACAAAAGAUGGCAUCUGGCUGGUUCAGCUCUGUCAGUCAGGGAUCCUUAAACUCUUCAAAACCAAAUGCUAGAACACGUUGCUGAAUAAAUAAGGCCCUGGCAUUGAACAUUGUCUUGUACCUGCCCCAGGUCAUAGCAAAUGACAGAAGUCCCUUGGUGGGCAAAAUUCACUGGGAGAAAAUGGUUAAAAAGGUGUCAAGAUUUGGAAUACGUACAGGCACAUUUAACUGUUCCAGUGAUCCCAGAACUUUCCUGUAGAAUCUGAUUGGGACGAAGACCCUGACUUAUUCUUGGAGCGCUUAGCUUUCCCUGACCUUUGGCUUCACCCUCUGAUACCAACUGAUUAUAUUAAAAACUUACCAAUGUGGCGAUUUAAAUGUCUUGGAGUCCAGUCUGAAGAGGAA
rnacentral:sRNA from 1 species